UUUUUUUUGCCUUGUGUUCAGAUCGAUGGGAAGUGGCUCUUGUCUAAGUUUGGUCUAGUCCCAAAUAAAACUUUGGCAUAUAUUAUGACUCUAUGGAAUCAACAUCUUAGCCAAACUCUUCAAAAGAAAUGGAUUCCAAGCAUCAAAGAUGCGUAUGUG